GAUGAACGCUGGCGGCGUGCCUAAUACAUGCAAGUCGAGCGAACAGAUGAGGAGCUUGCUCCUCUGACGUUAGCGGCGGACGGGUGAGUAACACGUGGAUAACCUACCUAUAAGACUGGGAUAACUUCGGGAAACCGGAGCUAAUACCGGAUAAUAUAUUGAACCGCAUGGUUCAAUAGUGAAAGACGGUUUUGCUGUCACUUAUAGAUGGAUCCGCGCCGCAUUAGCUAGUUGGUAAGGUAACGGCUUACCAAGGCAACGAUGCCUAGCCGACCUGAGAGGGUGAUCGGCCACACUUGAACUGAGACACGGUCCAGACUCCUACGGGAGGCAGCAGUAGGGAAUCUUCCGCAAUGGGCGAAAGCCUGACGGAGCAACGCCGCGUGAGUGAUGAAGGUCUUCGGAUCGUAAAACUCUGUUAUUAGGGAAGAACAAAUGUGUAAGUAACUAUGCACGUCUUUACGGUACCUAAUCAGAAAGCCACGGCUAACUACGUG
rnacentral:rRNA from 1 species